AUUGAACGCUGGCGGCAGGCCUAACACAUGCAAGUCGAGCGAGCGGCGGACGGGUGAGUAAUGUAUGGGGACUGCCCGAUAGAGGGGGAUAACUAAUGGAAACGGUGGAUAGUACAGAAUACUAACGAAGAACCAAUAUGGGAUUAGCUAGUAGGUGGGGUAAAGGCUAACCUAGGCGACGAUCUCUAGCUGGUCUGCGAGGAUGAUCAGCCACACUGGGACUGAGACACGGCCCAGACUCCUACGGAGGCCGCAGUGGGGAAGAUUGCACAAUGGGCGCAAGCCUGAUGCAGCCAUGCCGCGUGUAUGAAGAAGGCCUUAGGGUUGUAAAGUACUUUCAGCGGGGAGGCGUUCCCCGCAGAAGAAGCACCGGCUAACUCCGUGCCAGCAGCCGCGGUAAUAC
rnacentral:rRNA from 1 species